rnacentral:lncRNA from 1 species
GAUCCCCACUGUUCUCCAACCAAAUAAUCUUUCAAUAACAUAUUUUCUUACAAUAGAUCGUUAUAUAUGUCAUCACCUCACUUGUGAUUGCUGCAUUAAUUAGGGCAAAAACCCUACAGAAGCAAAUGUCUCCACAUCUAUCCUUGAUAAGGUGAUAUUUAAUAAAUAUCCACCUGACAAAGAGGAACUUUUGGAGCCAUUUGAAGCUCUUAGGGACUUAAGCAUUUAUAACAUGUAGUACACUUGGAUGAAUCAUUGUCAGUUAUGAAACAUACGGAUUUGGUUAUGCAUGGCUACGUUUGAGUAGAUUUGUCCAUAGCAGCUAUUUUCCAUUCAUUCUAACCUAUGAAAUGGGAACCAAGUCACAAGAGUGAGUUCAGGCUUUUUAACAAUAAACUUUCUGGCAUUUCCACCACUUCUGAAAGUGUCUGCAUGUGUUCCUUGUAAGAAGUUUGAAAAGUUAUAAAUAUGCCAAAUGCGUCUUUUUUUUUUUUUUUUUUGAUCUUUUUGCCAUUUCCUGGGCCGCUCCUGUGGCAUAUGGAGGUUCCUAGGCUAGGGGUUGAAUCGGAGCUGUAGCCACCGGCCCACGCCAGAUCCUUAACCCACUGAGCAAGGCCAGGGAUCGAACCCGCAACCUCAUGGUUCCUAGUCGCAUUUGUUAACCACUGAGCCACGAUGGGAACUCCGCCAAGUGCGUCUUGAUCCAUUCUUCUGAGCAUGCCUCUUAUGAUGCUAGGAAGGUCUAACUCUGAAUUAUGUUUGAUAUUCAGGGGAGAACAAUCUGGCAGUGAGCUGACUUCUACCAAAGCAACCUGGAUCAGGAAGCUGGUGGAGGAGAGCCUGGAACCCCUUUGUGGUUAAAUGAGGUGCUUUUCCUGAUGGGCAAAAUACACAGCAGGGGCCGAGGGUGCUGCAAGCUUAAGGAUGUAAGAUGAUGACAACCAUAAGCAAAAGAACACAAUUUGAAGAUCUGGUAAGUACAAGAGAGAUAUUUAUAGAUAUUAAUCAAUUAUCUUGACAUUAUUUUUCUGUUUUAAGUAUUUGUCUUUUUCUUGAGUCCCUAUGAAUAAUGGUACUGCUCGUGAGCCUGACCUUUUCAAGAAAAAUGCUAUACUUCUAUAAUUAUAUUUGAGAGACAUAACAUUAUUUGAAUAGGCAUCUCAGUAUUAUUCAGACAUAUUGUAAUAUUACCAGGACUUAAAGUCUUUGAAUAAUGCAAACUUUCCUAACAUUACUCAUCACAUUUAGUGUAGGC